AAACAAAAACUUUAUAGAAAUAUAAUCGAUACGUAAUAAAAAUUUAUACAUAAAUAUAUGUAAGUAUAUAAAGAGACUAUUAGGAAAUACUAGCUAUGUAUUAAAGAGAUUUAUAUUUAUCCCAUUAAUUAGGAUAAUAAACUCUAAGAGAAAUCAGAUAAUAAACGAAGCGAAUUGAAUUAUCUUAUUAGCUUCAGGAAAAGAAAUCAAAAGAGAUUCUAUGAUUAGCGUGAGCAAAAAUAGAUAAGUCUAAAUAAUAAGUAAAAUGACUUUAAAGUUGUUUGAAUAAAAUGGGGAACCUUCCUCAAAGACUAAAUAUAAUACAUAAGCGAUAGUGAAAUAGUACCGUGAGGGAAAAGUAAGUAGAAUUAGUAGUUUUAUAAGCAGCUCGAGCGAAAGCAAGAGCGUACCUUUUGCAUAAUGGGUCACCAAGUUAAUUUUAGAUGCGAGCUAAUUAAUAAGCGUAGUUAAACCGAUCAUGAAAAUAAUGAAUAGUAUCUAAAAUUAGACCCGAAGUACAGUGAUCUUACCAUAAUCAGGACUAUAAAGGUCCGAACGGGUUAUCGUUGCAAAGAUAUCCGAAGAAUUAUGGUAAGUAUAGUGAAAGACAAUCCGUGACUGUAUUAGCUGGUUUUCUGCGAAACCUAUAACAGUAGGCAGUUUAAGUUACAUCUUUACAGGUACAGAACUUAAUCUCAGACAAGGUGUAUAUUAAAAUACAUUUUAUUUUGUAUAGAUCGGGGGAUCAUAAAGAUUUUACCGGUGAGUUUGUGGACUCGAAAUGGUAAAGAUGAAUCUUAAAUUAUCGGACAUAGAAUGAUAAGGUUGUAUGUCAAAAGGGAAACAGCCCAGAACAAGAGUUAAGGUUCCGAAGUUAUUAUUAAGUGAAAUUAAGAAGGUUUUUAUCUAAGUCGACAAGGAGAUUGGCUUAGAAGCAGCCAUAAUUUAAAGACCUCGUAUCAGAGCACUUGUUAAAUGUUAAAAGCGUCGAAAAUUUAACGGAUCUAAAUAAUACACCGAUACCUUGUCUAUAAAUGAUUAUAAUUAUUUAUGGGGUAGCAGAACGUUGAGUUAAUCUUAGUGUUUUUUUUUAUAAAAAAAAUAAUAUUAUAACUCAAGUGAGAAUGGUGACAUGAGUAACGAAAAAGAAAAUUUUAUAAUUAUAAUUUUAUUAUGGUUAUAAAAUACUCGCCUAAAGCUUAUGGUUAUGAUAAGUAACGGCCUCUAAGUUUAUAACCUGAAGGUUAAAACGAUGAGAAAAUUCUUAUUACUAUUAAUGACAACAUUUUUAAGUGGAAAGUGUACAGGAAAUAAUUAGUAAUACUGUAUUAAAAAUACAAUAACCGUUCCUAGGAACUACAACAAGUAAGCUAGUAGAGAAUACGAAGGCGCAUGAGAUAACAAUCUUAAAGGAACUCGGCAAAUUGACUACCGUAACUUAGGGAUAAGGAGGGCUCAUUUCUCCUGAUUAAUAUCAGGUAAAAAGGAAGAAGCAUAAAAUAAUGUUGUACGACUGUUUAAUUAAAACAAAGCACUUUGCAGAAAGAUGAUAAAUCUAAGUAUUGAGUGUGAUGUCUGCCCGAUGCCGGCUGGUUAACGAAAUCUACUAAAUUCUAAAAAUUUGGUUUUUAAGGAACCCCCGGUCAAUGGCGGCCUUAACGUGAGGGUCCUAAGGUAGCGAAAUGCCUUGGCCGUUAAAUGCGGUCUUGCAUGAAUGAUAUAACGAUACAACAGCUGUCUCUAAGAUUGACUCAGUGAAAUUGGAAUAACUGUGCAGAUACAGUUUACCUCUAGGUAGACGAGAAGACCCUAUGCAGCUUUACUGUUACUAAUUAUUGGAUAUAAUCCAAACAAAUUUUAGUUUAGAAGGUUCAUUGAUUAGAUAAAAGUGAAAGACCUUUAUUUGUUUAUUAUAUUAUAAACCUUGAAUUAAAAAGGAACAGUUGUUAGAAGACAGUUUAUGUGGGGCACAGACCCCUUAAAGAGUAAAAGGGUGUAUCUAAAAUUAUAACUUAUAUUAUUAUAUAAGUUUAUUAUAUUUUUAUUGUUUGUAAUUAUUUUUAACUUUGUUAUAUUUAAUCAUAUAUUUUUGUGUAUAAAUAUAUACAUGUUAUUAGGUAAGAUUUCCCUAUUGAGAAAUUAGGAGUAUAAUAAUAUAUUGUAUUUAUAUAAUAUAUUCUAAUUAUUAUGGUUUUAACCAUUAAUAACCAUGUUUAAUACUUAUUAAGUUGAAUGGCUUAAUCUUGCUUUACUGUUUGAUUCACAACAAAUCUUACAGUCGCGUAAGCGGGGCAUUGGAUCACAAGAUACAACAAGGAAAGGUCUUGGAUUAUUGGAAAAGCUACGCUAGGGAUAACAGGCUAAUUUGCGCAAGAGUGUGCAAAAUGAGUGCGCGGUUUGGCACCUCGAUGUCGGCUUAACUUAUCCUCAUGGAUGCAGAAACUAUGUAGGGUACGACUGUUCGUCGAUUAAAAAGUUACAUGAGCUGGGUUAAGUACGUCGUGAGACAGUACGGUUUCUAUCUUCUAGAGGGAAUUAGAAUAUAAUAAGGAUUAACCUUGUACGAAAGGAACCUGGGCAACGCCUUAUUCCCAAAAGGAAUAACGGUUUUAUUAACCUCUGGUUUAUCUGUUGUUUAUGUGCCCAAUUAUUAAUUUAGGUAUAAUAGUAAUAUUAUACAGGGAUGUUACUUUCACUUAGGUAAAUGUAUAGCAUAGGCAUGGCAGAAAAGCUAAGUUAGUCAGAGAUAAGUGCUGAAAGCAUAUAAGCACGAAGCUCACCUUAAGAUAUUUCUUAAAUAUACGUAAAAUAAUAUUACGUAAUAGGCUUAGUUUGUAAUAAUCUAGAGAUUUUUAGAUACUAAGUACUAAUUUUAUAAAUAACUGAAUAUUUAUCGU
rnacentral:rRNA from 1 species